rnacentral:rRNA from 1 species
AUGGCAGAGCCAGAGGCGCGGAUCACCACUCUGGGUUCUUCAGCCUUCAGGUUCACAGUAGACUACGAGCAAAGCAAGAAGGUUCCCGUCGGCAAGGCCAUCCACUCCGACGUCGUCUCCGCCGGUGGACACCACUGGAGGAUCGAGUUCUUCCCGCGCGGCCAGAGCGAGGCCGACAAGGGCGAGUAUGUAUCCAUCUUCUUCAGGCACAUGAGCAAAACCAGAAGGAUCAGGGCCAUCAUCGAGGCCUUCGUCACUGGCAGCGACGGUAAUCCAUCUGUGCCAGACAUACUGCAGAGGACAUUUCAAACCUUUGAAAUCAAUGGAGAUAAAGGCCGCCACGACUCCUGGGGAUGGAAUCGAUUUGCCAAGGGGACUAUUCUGGAGAAAAUUUUCUUAGCAGAGAGGCACGUCACGUUUGUAUGCGCCAUCAUACUCAUUGGUGACAAACCUGCUAUUCUUGUCCCGCCUUCAGAUAUAGGGGCUCAUCUUGGCCGUCUGCUUGAUCGUACCGACGGGACUGACGUUUCAUUCAUCAUUGGCGAUGAGACAUUCCAUGCUCACCGGGCGGUGCUUGCUGCCCGCUCACCGGUCUUUAGAGCACAGCCCUUCGGUUCCAUGUCUGAGGCCACAAUGUCAUCCAUCAGGCUGCACGAUAUCACGCCUGCAACAUUCAAAUUUAGGCUUGGAUUCAUAUACAUGGAUGAAUUACCCGGAGAAGAUGAGUGUAACGACUAUUCCACUGAGAUGCUCCAGAAUCUACUCGCUGCGGCUGAUCUAUAUGCACUUGAUCGGCUGAAGGUUAUUUGUGCCCAGAAGUUAUGGAAUAAAGUUUCAGUAGAUACAGUUGCAACUAUGUUAGCUUGUGCUGAAACCUAUAACUGUCAGGAAUUGAGGAACAACUGCAUUGACUUCUUCGCGGUGGAAGCAAAUUUUAAGGAGGCCAUGUUCACCGAUGGUUAUGCAUUGUUGGUUCUAAAAUUCCCGUUGAUUACUGCUGAGCUCAAAAAGAGGGUUAGGGCAUAA